AUGUUCAUUUUCUUGACAGGUUCACAUAGCAAUGUGGCUGCGGCCUGUUCCAUUUCCUCAGAGUCCUUGGAAAAAAUCUUUGAAGAAGAUUUUGUUGAGCCAAGGAAGACACCAUCCCCCAAGAGGCAUAAAGCAAUUCCCGAAAGAUCAAAUGCUGUUAGGACUCAAUCCCGCACCCACACCUCUAAAAGACAGAGAAAUGACGAUGAUGAGCUUAUGGAAGUUGGUCACAAAAGAACCAAGUAUGACGAUGUGGCAAGCAGCAACACCCCAGUGAGGCCUCACAAUGCAAAGCAAGGGUCAGCUGAAAAGUCUGGAAGGCCAGGGAUUGACGCACCUAUUGGACUGCUUAAUGUAAAUACAGGGGGUUCUGUUAUUUGUUUUAAAAAAAUUGCCAUGAUGAUGAGGGUGCUCAAAAUGGUUAAAGAGUGGGAAAACAUUAUGACCCAGCUGAUGCUAACUUUGCCUGAUGCGGGAAUGUUUUCUGAUAUGAUUAAAGAAGUGGACCAUUUAUCUUGUGUAGAGAUUCCUCAAACCCAAAUAGGAUGGGGAUAUCCUGACUUACAACAGCCACCAAAAAGAGGGCGUAUGAAAAGGGAAAUACCACACCAAAAGUUUGGAAAAAGAAAAAAGAAGAAGAAAAAACAAAUUACAGGAAAACUGUACUGGCACAAAAGAGCUAUGAAAUUGUUAGCCAGGUCUAAAAAACUGCUUUCACGUAGGAAAAGGCGUACUGCCCCUCAGCCUUCUAGCCCCACACAAGAGACCCAUAGUACUCAAGGUGUAAAGGGUCCUGGUCUUGAUGACCAAAGGUCUCAAGAACCGUCACAGGGCUCACAAGCUCUGAAUCCUGAAAAUAGUUCAAGGUCUGAUACGGAACACCCACAGGUGUAUGCAGAAGUUAUAAACAGGUGGGAAUGGGAACAUGGGCGAUUCAGAGCACAACAUAUUGCGCAGGAAUUCAGAUUUGUUAAUUUAGAGCAUAUAGAGUCCUAUACACAAGCGAUAGCUGCUUUGCACAAUGCAAUUCAGCAAGUCCUUGAUGAUGUUAAUCAAAGACUCGAGACGGGGGAUUUUGUGCAGCUGAGAUUUGAGGGCGGGAAUAUGAGGGACCCUUUGUUUUCAGUGAAGAAGGUUAAAGGGAAUCUUGAUGCAGAGGAAUUCCUCUCUAAUCUGGCCAAUCUUUUACAGAGUAACAUGGAGCUGUGUCUUGAAGGCACAUUGCGUCUGAUUGUAACCAUUGUAAAACCUCCCCGUGGGGGCAGAGGCCGUUCAAGAGCCUUGCGCUCUAUACCACAUAGUGAAAUCAUAAAUAAGAAAAGGAAACAUCUAAUAGAUUUUAGCGAUGUGAACAAUAAAUUGUGCUUUGGGGUUGGUCUGUUAGCCGUGAUGGCUGAAAAGGUUCCAACAGAUGCUGAAUUGACAAAAUCAGCCCUAGAGUUGUAUCGGGCUGUCGGAUGGCCUGUAGACAAAGAGGUCUCUCUAGCAGACAUUCCUCUUUUUGAGAAUCAUUUAAAGGUAAAUAUACAAGUAGCCCACUAUGGGGACAAAGGCUGGGGUUUAUUUAAAACACAAGAACUCCGGUAUCCACAAACAUAUACAGUAUUUCUCCACGAUGAUCAUUACUAUGGAGUGCUCAAUGUAAAAGCCCUUUUUGGGGCUAAAAAUUACUGCCUGUUUUGCCACAAAUUGUACAGUCACAUUCACGAUUGUUUAUUUUCCUGCAGGCUCUGUUUAAGAAAGGAUUGUUCUUCUAAAAUAGAUAGAAUGGACAGGUGCACACAUUGCCAAAUGGUCUGCAGAUCAAAAGAGUGUUUAACAUUACAUACAAAAUUGGCAACAGAGAAAAAGGUCCCCUGCAAGUUCAGGAAAUUUUGUGAAGAGUGCAAACAUUAUCAAAAUGCAGAUCAUUUCACCAAGCGCUGUAGGGGUCUGCGCUGUAAUGUCUGUUGGGGGCGAAUGAAACAAGAUGAACAGCAUCUCUGUUUCAUGCAGCCACUUCAAGAGCCAAAAAUCUCAACCCAAUAUAUAUUUUACGACAUAGAAACUCAUCAAUCCACUGGAAUACAUGUUCCCAAUUACUGUUUUGCAAAAGCGUUUGCUGGGGAAACCGUAGACUGUUUUAAAGAAGGGAAUUCUGUGGUAACUGGGGCUGCUGGGGAUGUACAGACUUCUAGGGAUCAGGAUUCUGAUGGUGAGGAGGGAGAGGCUUAUGAUAGUGGUUCAGACUGGGAGGGUGAGGCUACGGCCUCUGAUGAGGCGGAGGGUGACACUGAAGAUAUUGAGGGGCCACAUAAUGUUUCAGAUUGUAAGGGCGAUGCUUCAGACUCUGAUGAGGUGGAGAAGGGAUCUGGACGCAGCAAGAAAAAGACUGUGAAAAAAAAGGGUUGGCCUUAUGGGAAAACCUGGGAGUUUAAAGGGGAGUCUUGCAUAGUGGAGUUCGUUCGGACUUUCACAAAAGGGAGGCUUUUCGGGGGCACUACGUUUAUAGCCCAUAAUUCAAAAGGUUAUGAUGGCUAUUUCAUCCUCCAACAGUUGGUCAAAGAAAAAUUGGAGGUAGAGCUUGUUGCUCAAGGGGGCAAACUUAUAUCUAUAACAGUAAAGGAUCUAGGUAUAAAAUUCGUGGAUUCUCUCAGUCAUCUGCCCAUGGCACUCUCAAAACUACCCAAAUGUCUAGGGUUUGAGCAGGAGUCUAAGGGAUAUUUCCCUCAUUAUUUCAAUACCCCUGAAAAUAGCCAGUACGAGGGACCCAUGCCACCCCCCGAAGAUUAUGGAGUGCAAUACAUGAUGCCUUCUGAACAGAAGGCUUUCUUACAAUGGAAUGCUGAGAAUCAGACAAAAAUCUUUAACCUGCAGCGCGAAUUGGCGCUCUAUUGCCAACAGGAUGUUAACAUCUUGGUACAGGCCUGCACAAUGUACCGUCACGAAAUCAUGACCCUGACAAAGCUUAAGAAAAAGCGCAAUGGUGAAUACGAUUGGUUUGCCAUAGAUCCCCUUCAGUACCCCACCCUGGCUAGUGUGUGUCUUGCCAUGUACAAAUUUAAUUUUUGGAGAAAAAUAAAAUAG
ensembl:lncRNA